UGGGGAAUAUUGGACAAUGGGCGCAAGCCUGAUCCAGCCAUGCCGCGUGAGUGAUGAAGGCCCUAGGGUUGUAAAGCUCUUUCACCGGUGAAGAUAAUGACGGUAACCGGAGAAGAAGCCCCGGCUAACUUCGUGCCAGCAGCCGCGGUAAUACGAAGGGGGCUAGCGUUGUUCGGAUUUACUGGGCGUAAAGCGCACGUAGGCGGACUAUUAAGUCAGGGGUGAAAUCCCGGGGCUCAACCCCGGAACUGCCUUUGAUACUGGUAGUCUUGAGGUCGAGAGAGGUGGGUGGAAUUCCGAGUGGAGAGGUGAAAUUCGUAGAUAUUCGGAGGAACACCAGUGGCGAAGGCGGCUCACUGGCUCGAUACUGACGCUGAGGUGCGAAAGCGUGGGGAGCAAACAGG
rnacentral:rRNA from 1 species